GGCCCGCACCCGGCGCCGUGACGUCUGCCCGCCGCUUCCGCUCUGCCCUUAUUUGGCGCCGCCACCGCGCCGCCCAACGGGUGGAGGCUGGGAACCGACUCCCGCCCCGCCCCGCCCCGUCCGGGACACGCCCCCGUGGGGGGCUGACCUUGGCUCCGUGCCACGUGCCCCUCGCCCUCCCGGGGACCCCGGGGUCGCCGAGGGACCGGGAGGGGACGCGGGCGGCGGGGGGAUGACGCUGAGGUCUCCACCGGCCCUUGACCUGGGAGGCCGCAGUCAGGGGUUGGGACUGUCUCGAAUGAUCCCGGUGGGUGAGCCGGGGUCACGGUGUUCACCCUCGGCGGCCAGCAAUGAUGGGAACAGCCACCCCUGCGCCUAACUCCGUUUCCUGUUUUAUCGGCUUGAACUUCAGAUUCUCGCCCUCGGCGCAGUGGAAAGCUUUGCAGAGCGAGGCAAAUUACCUUCGGAUUUCAUCUCCAUAAAUCCGGACCCCGCAAUUCCUUUGACAGGCGGAAGGAGGACUAUGGCGAUGAUUAAUAAUCGUGCCGCAAGGUUGCUGAUGUAAAGCGAUUUGCAGGGAUAAAGGGCAAUAAGCAUUCCUGGGAGGAAUCCGGCGAGAUUCCAGAAGUGUCUGAGGGAGCCGUGGGCGUGUGCCGCGGGCCUGAGGGGGCGGGGGUGAGGCGGGAAGUGUCGCAGUGACCACUGCGGGAGCCGCCCCCCCACCCUCCCUCUGGGGAGCCCGCUUUGGGGGGGGGGCGUUGGGGUUAACCCUUCAAGCCGCUCAGUCGUGUGCCCCCCCCCCUUCCCUCACACCCUCAGUUCUUCUGGCCAAAAGAAUGUGUUUUUCAGAAGUUCAGAGGUUAUUCUCUAGUUCAGCCUUUCUGUUUCACACAUGGGGAGACUAAGGGUCAGAGAAGUUGGUUCACCCAUCCAAACACGCACAGCACAGCUGAAAAGACAGAUAAAAGCCAGGAGUAUUUGUUUAUUUACUUAUUAAAGCCGGGGACAGUGAAACUAGGUAGGGCUGAGGAUAGAAGAAGCAACAGGAGAGAGCCUGGGUGGGGCUGCUUUGGCUCUAGAAAUGGUAUAAGGAAAGAAAUUAGCUUUGGUGGGACCGCUGUCAGCUCACUGGAGAGUCAGAGAAAAGGGAGCUGGGAGACAGAUUCAGGGCUUAGCCCGGGACAGCUCCCACUGUCCAUUGCUCCCCUGGUUGCAAAUCUUCACGGGGGGCCUUAGAAUUUAGGAGAUACUUGCCCGAGGGGGGCGGGGAGGGGGGCGAGCAGAGGGGGGAAGGCAAAGGCAUGGGCGUGCUUUCUGGAGGGAGAGCGCAAGAAAAGCCAGGAUCUCCGACUUCAACCUAGUGCCCCUUCCACCUCACCUAGGUGCUCUUUACCUCCGGUUUCUGUGGCUUCAGGACCCUACUGCCUGGCUGAGCUGGUGGGGGCGUAUAGUAAAAAUCAGUACUGACUUCGGGGCGCCUUUAGGCACCUUUGCUGUCCUACACAGCCCACAGCAUAACACCAGGACGUGGGGUGAUGGCCAGGAGGUGUAUACCCCCAAAGCUGCAAGCAUUCCUCCUUACAAGGGCUGGAAUGGCCACCUUUAUCCAGAGACUCAGCUGUCCUGACAUCAGUCUUAGCAGCAGCUGGUCGUUUUUCACAGUUACCCAAGUCUUGCACUAAGCUUUUCUCAGCCAAGACAGCAGCAGACGGCACGCGUCGUCCGAACCCAUGGAAAUCCCUUUUCUCAUCUUUGGAAGGCUGACUAUGAAGACACCUCAGACUGAGAGGACUGUCUGCUGCUGCCUCGGGACAUCCCAACUGGCUGAUUUGAGGUGGUGUCUGGGAUCCGCCACCUUCCUCUCUGAUUCCAACUUAAAGCUAAAAGAGCAGAAGCAGCCGCUCUGCCCCCUGGUGGACAUGUGAGGCAGAGCGCCUCGAAUUUCAGAAGCCGCGUCUUGGCGGCGCAGGUUGGGGGAAAAGAUUUUCUUUGUUUACUCUGUUGGAAACAGCAAAACUUGGCAGAAGAUAAUCUCUCUCUCUCUCUCUCUCUCAUUUCUUAUGAUCUGGUCGAUUUGGAUGCAGAAAACACUUCUGUUUUUCCCCCUCCUUGUCUGGACUGCUUUUUUCCUGCCUGCUAGCCAAACCCUGCCUCCCCACACUCUCUUCAAAUUCUAUUUCAAAUUCCACCUCCUUCAUAACUCUCCUGACUCUCCUCUCCUAUGUGCCUUUUGAAGUACACAGACCCAGCACACAGCUGUUUUUACUGUUGUUUCCUUGAAGCCUGGGGCCAUGUCUUGUGUAUCUUUUGUGUUCACAGUGCCCAGCACAGGGCUGGGGACAAAAACUGCUCUCAAUAAGCUGCUUAAGUGCUUAAUUAAUGGGUUAAUUUCUACAGAAGCAGCUCUAGGCCCUGGCUUCAGUUGACCUUCCAGAACUCGAAGUUCUUUGGGGGAAUCUAGAUAGUGAUCUAAUAAAAUAGAGCCUUGCACAAUCAGGAGUUUCACAGAGCAGUUUCACAAGGGAACACCACCACCACCACCCAGGGAGGGGUGAGGAAGUUUGAAGUGGACUCUCAGAGGAAGGAGGAGGAAGGUGGCGACAUGGGAGAUUCACAGGAUGAAAAACUAGGAAAGGGAGCCUCUGCUCCAGGGAUCAGAGAGGAAGCACAGGCUCUGGAGCCAGUUUUAGAUCCAGAUGCCACCACUCGCUGUGCGGCCUUGGGCAGGUUUCCUCUCUGUGCCUCAGUCUUCUCAUCUGUAAGCACAAGUACCCAUCUCAUAGUGAGAUGAUGAGGAAAAAUGGAGUUGAUAAUUUGCAAAGUGCCAGAAUAGUGCCUGGCACAUAGUAAGUGCUAUAUAACAGUUUGUAAAUGAAUUUUUCAGCUUAGUUGCCAUGUAAAUGGAAUAGGGGGACAUUAUAUGAUCUCUCCGUUCUCUUCUGCACCGACCUCCCAGGGCAGUGCAUGAGCUUUGGGGUCAGUCAGGUCUGGGUUGGCUCUUGUCUCUGUUAGCAGUUAUGUGACCUUGGGCAGAUCACUCUGCUUCUUGGAACCUCAAUUUUCUUAUCUGAGAAAUGGGGAUAAUUGUGCCUCCCUAAAAAGACUGUCAUGCGCAUUACAUUGCUUGUAAAUGCCUGUUAUAGAAGGAGCUUAACAAACAGAAGCUAUAGCCAGAUCGGCAUGGCUCGGUGGUUAAGUGUCGACAUAUGAAACAGGAGGUCACGGUUUGAUUCACAUGCUCAGGUUGCAGGCUCAAUCCCCAGUGUGGGGCAUGCAGGAGGCAGCCGAUCAAUGAUUCUCAUCAUUGAUGUUUCUAUCUCUUUCUCCCUCUCCCUUUCUCUCUGAAAUCAAUACAAAUAUAUUUAAAAAUAAACAGAA